CGAAAGAAAAUAUACUCUUCACAUCAAGAAUCAGUAUAAUUUCUCCUGUCCAAUAAAUAAAAAACAAACGAGAGAACUUGAACGUGCAGCACAGAUGGACCAUGCAGCAUUGCUGUGUAAAACCGGAAUUUCGGGUUUUGUCGGGGAGCCCAAUGAAGACCAAAUGAAUGCUCAUUCAGGAGGGCAGGGAUGAAUAGGAUUGAACUAUAAGGGGGCCAACAUGGUUGUGGAUAUCCUCUUGUAACGGUGGUGUAUUUUUUCUUAAUGUUGGGGAAAAGGAGUCCGCUUGGCACCCCCCAUUUCGAUAUCUGCAGUUGGCUAACUCUUUGAACAGGAUGCGAAGUGGUUUACUGUCUGCAGGAAGGAAUGACUGGAGCAGAGUGGCUACUUCGCGCGUGAUGAGGCCGGGUGCCGCGAAGUCGGAUUGCACGGGUGGAAGUGGUAAUCAGCAGGUGUGGAAUGGCGCGCUUCUCAAGUGAGGAAGCUGGCGUCCGCAGGGACGAAGCGCGAAGACUCAAGCCAGUGACCAAAGAGACCGGCUUCCGGAGGAGCCGUCAGGGCCCGAGAAGAGGCGAACUGUUGGGACGACUUCGGGGACAUGGUUCCCGCUCGGGCUUAGCGGUGAAGUGUUGGGACGACUUCGGGGCAUGAGUCCCCCUCGUGCUUAGCUGUAAAGUGAUGAGUUGUAAAGAGUGUGUCAAAAGUUAUGUAAUGUUACUAUAAUAUUCUCGAAUAUGCUUCGCAUAAAGAGAAAAGGAGGGUGUUGUGUUGUAAAGUGUAAAGAUUAUGGCCCUAUAAAAUGAGGUCGUUGAGAAUUCGAAUGGAUACAUUCCGACGGAGAGGGAGAUUUCUUAAGCUC
rnacentral:lncRNA from 1 species